rnacentral:rRNA from 1 species
UGGGGAAUAUUGCACAAUGGGCGCAAGCCUGAUGCAGCCAUGCCGCGUGUAUGAAGAAGGCCUUCGGGUUGUAAAGUACUUUCAGCGGGGAGGAAGGGAGUAAAGUUAAUACCUUUGCUCAUUGACGUUACCCGCAGAAGAAGCACCAGCUAACUCCGUGCCAGCAGCCGCGGUAAUACGGAGGGUGCAAGCGUUAAUCGGAAUUACUGGGCGUAAAGCGCACGCAGGCGGUUUGUUAAGUCAGAUGUGAAAUCCCCGGGCUCAACCUGGGAACUGCAUCUGAUACUGGCAAGCUUGAGUCUCGUAGAGGGGGGUAGAAUUCCAGGUGUAGCGGUGAAAUGCGUAGAGAUCUGGAGGAAUACCGGUGGCGAAGGCGGCCCCCUGGACGAAGACUGACGCUCAGGUGCGAAAGCGUGGGGAGCAAACA